CGCUGCGUGCUGAUAUGUGGUUUCAUAAUAAAUUCUCUUCUCACACGCGGAGCAGCGACUAUUGCUAGUUGAAAACUUUUCCCAAUACCCCGCCUGGACGACGUGGAACACCGUCGGCCGAGGCAAUUUUUGGAAGGCCCUACGGGGC
rnacentral:snRNA from 1 species